rnacentral:rRNA from 1 species
GAUGAACGCUAGCUACAGGCUUAACACAUGCAAGUCGAGGGGCAGCAUGGUCUUAGCUUGCUAAGGCCGAUGGCGACCGGCGCACGGGUGAGUAACACGUAUCCAACCUGCCGUCUACUCUUGGACAGCCUUCUGAAAGGAAGAUUAAUACAAGAUGGCAUCAUGAGUCCGCAUGUUCACAUGAUUAAAGGUAUUCCGGUAGACGAUGGGGAUGCGUUCCAUUAGAUAGUAGGCGGGGUAACGCCCACCUAGUCUUCGAUGGAUAGGGGUUCUGAGAGGAAGGUCCCCCANAUUGGAACUGAGACACGGUCCAAACUCCUACGGGAGCAGCAGUGAGGAAUAUUGGUCAAUGGACGAGAGUCUGAACCAGCCAAGUAGCGUGCAGGAUGACGGCCCUAUGGUUGUAAACUGCUUUUAUAAGGGAAUAAAGUGAGUCUCGUGAGACUUUUUGCAUGUACCUUAUGAAUAAGGACCGGCUAAAUU